UGCUUAGCCCUUAACAUAGACAAUACAAACACAAUAUUGUCCGCCAGAGAACUACAAGUGAAAAACUAGAAACUCCAAGGACUUGGCGGUGCCCCAUAUCAACCUAGAGGAGCCUGUCCUAUAAUCGAUAAUCCACGCUGCACCUCACCAUUUCUUGCAACUCAGCCUAUAUACCGCCGUCGAAAGCCUACCUUAUGAAAGAAACAAAGUAAGCAAAAUAGUCAACAACUAGAACGUCAGGUCAAGGUGUAGCACAUGAAAUGGAAGAGAUGGGCUACAUUUUCUACCCUAGAAAACACGAACAGCACAAUGAAACCUGUACUCAAAGGAGGAUUUAGCAGUAAGACAAAAAAGAAACUUUGUCUUAAACCCGCUCUGGGGUGCGCACACACCGCCCGUCAC
rnacentral:rRNA from 1 species